rnacentral:lncRNA from 1 species
UCUAAACCACGUAUUCAAAACAUAAGAAUAUAGAAAAACAGAAAACCAAAAAGAUGAAAAAUAUGUAAAAAGCAAAUAAUAACCAAAGCUAGUUUUAAUGUAAUAUUAUCAGACAAAAUUGACUAUACAGUAGAAAGCUAUAUAGACAGAUUACUUCAUGAUGAUCAAAGUUUUAAUAUAGGAGAAAUACAUAAAAUGUUUUAUAUGAAAUUAAGAAUAUAGCCUCAGCAGCACAAUUCACAAUAUCUAAAUUAUGGAACCAACCUAGAUUCCCUCCAGUAUCCAAUGGAUAGGGAAACUUUGGUAUACAUACAUAAUGGAAUAUUACUCAGCAUUAAAAGAGGAUAAAAUCAUGGUAUUUGCAGGUAAAUGGAUGAAGUUGGAGCAUAAAAUGCUAAGUGAAGCAAGCCAAUCCCAAAAAACCAAUGGCCAAAUGUUUUCUUUGAUAUGAGAAUGCUGGCUCAUAAUGGUGAUGGGGCAGGGAGCAAGGGAGGAAUGGAGGAACUCUAUAGAUAGAGCAAAGGGGAGGGAGAGGAAAGGAGGGGAUAAGGAGGUAGGAAUGAUGGUGGAAUGAGUUCGACAUCCUUACCCUAAGUAUAUGUAUAAAGAUAUGAAUGGUGUGAAAGUACUUUGUGUACAAUCUUGACUUGAAAAAUUGUGCUCUAUAUGUCUAAUAUGAAAUGAAUUGCAUUCUGCCAUCAUGUAUAACAAAUUAGAAUAAAUAAAUAAUUUAAUAAAAAAAGAAUAGCCUCAAAUAUGUUUUAAGGCUGGAGGUGUAGCUUGGUGUUGCAGUAUGUAUUUACCGUGCAUAUUUAGCAAGCAUGAAGUUCUGGGUUCAAUCCCCAGCACCAAAAAACAAAUGAAAUAUUUCCAAUGGUAGUAGAAGAUUUUAACCUACCAUUGUCAGUACUUGAUAGAACAAAUAGAAAAAGUACAAUAGAUGUGAAAGAAUUGAACAUAAUUAACAAAUUUGAUCAGAAAGACACAUUUUUCAUAAGCACACACAGAACAUUUAUAAUAUAAAUCACAUAUGAUACCAUAAAAUAAGUUUUAACAGCUUUCAAAGGAUUAGAGUCAUGCAGGCUAUAUCCUGGCUGCAAUACAAUUUAGAUAAAAUCUAAUAACAAAAGUGAACCAUUAAU